rnacentral:rRNA from 1 species
UACAGAGGGUGCAAGCGUUGUUCGGAAUUAUUGGGCGUAAAGGGCGCGUAGGCGGUGCGGUAAGUCUGCGGUGAAAUCUCCCGGCUCAACUGGGAGUCUGCCGUGGAAACUGCCGUGCUUGAGUGUGGGAGAGGUGAGUGGAAUUCCCGGUGUAGCGGUGAAAUGCGUAGAUAUCGUUUGGAACGCCGACGGCGAAAGCAGCUGACUGGGGGUGAUCUGACGCUGAGACACGAAAGCCAGGGGAGCGAACGGG